rnacentral:rRNA from 1 species
AUUCCAGCUCCAAUAGCGUAUAUUAAAGUUGUUGCAGUUAAAACGCUCGUAGUCGGAUUUCGGGGCGGGCCGACCGGUCUGCCGAUGGGUAUGCACUGGCCGGCGCGUCCUUCCACCCGGAGACCGCGCCUACUCUUAACUGAGCGGGCGCGGGAGACGGGUCUUUUACUUUGAAAAAAUCAGAGUGUUUCAAGCAGGCAGUCGCUCUUGCAUGGAUUAGCAUGGGAUAAUGAAAUAGGACUCUGGUGCUAUUUUGUUGGUUUCGAACACCGGAGUAAUGAUUAACAGGGACAGUUGGGGGUAUUCAUAUUUACAUGUCAGAGGUGAAAUUCUUGGAUUUUGGAAAGGUGAACGACUGCGAAGGCAUUUACCAAGGAUGUUUUCAUCG